rnacentral:rRNA from 1 species
UACGUAGGGGGCUAGCGUUGUCCGGAUUUAUUGGGCGUAAAGAGCGUGUAGGCGGCCAGGUAGGUCCGUUGUGAAAACUCGAGGCUCAACCUCGAGACGUCGGCGGAAACCCUCUGGCUAGAGUCCGGAAGAGGAGAGUGGAAUUCCUGGUGUAGCGGUGAAAUGCGCAGAUAUCGAGAGGAACACCUGCGGCGAAGGCGGGUUGCUGGGCCGACACUGACGCUGAUGCGCGAAAGCCAGGGGAGCGAACGGG